rnacentral:rRNA from 1 species
ACUGGCGGCAGUAGCGCGGUGGUCCCCACCUGACUACAUGCCGAACUCAGAAGUGAAACGCCGUAGCGCCGAUGGUGGUGUGGGGUCUCCCCGUAAGUACGGGGACUGCGGUGU